GACGAACGCUGGCGGUGUGCUUCACACAUGCAAGUCGAACGAGGUAGCAAUACCUAGUGGCGGACGGGUGAGUAACGCGUGGGAAUCUGCCUUAAGAUGGGGGAUAACGAGCCGAAAGGCUCGCUAAUACCGCAUAUGCCGAAAGGUGAAAGGAGUAAUCCGUCUUAAGAUGAGCCCGCGUCCGGAUUAGCUAGUUGGUAGGGUAAAGGCCUACCAAGGCGACGAUCCGGUAGCUGGUCUGAGAGGAUGAUCAAGACCACAAUGGGACUGAGACACGGCCCAUACUCCUACGGGAGGCAGCAGUGGGGAAUUUUACGCAAUGGGGGAAACCCUGACGUAGCGACACCGCGUGAGCGAAGGAAGCCCCUUGGGGUGUAAAGCUCUGUCAGCUGGAACGAAAAAAAUAGACGGUACCAGCAGAGGAAGCAUCGGCUAACUACGUG
rnacentral:rRNA from 1 species